UCUAAUCCAUCAACUUCCUCUCAUUUACACCUCCAGGCUCCUGGCCACAUCAUUUCUCAUCUGAGGUAUAUUACACCACUACCUCUUCAAGCUCUGCUGGCUGGGCUACUCCAUCCUUUAGAAAUCCCCAGAUGAGAAGCAAGCACCGUGUUCACACAUGGCGAACUCUCUCAGGAAAUGACCACACUCUCCUCUGCUUUGAUGGGGGCACCAGGACGAGCAGUUUCAAAGAAAAUGAAAUACCUGGGAAUACAGCUAACCAAGGAGGUGGACGAUCUCUGCAAGGAGAACUAUAAAACGCCACUGACAGAAAUCAAGAGAUGAUGCACAUAAAUGGAAAAACACUCCAUGUUCAUGGAUUAGAAGAAUCAAUAUUGUUAAUAUGGCCAUACUGCCCAAAGCAAUGUACAGAUUCAAUGGUAUUUGUAUCAAACUACCAAUGUCAUUCUUCAUAGAAUUAGAAUAAACUAUUCUAAAAUUCUUAUGGAACUCUUUUUUGAGCCAAAAUAGCCAAAACAAUCCUAGGCAAAAAGAACAAAGCUGGAGGCAUCACAUUACCCAACUUCAAACUAUACUAUAAGGCUACAGAAACCAAAACAGCAUGGUACUGGUACAAAAACAGGCA
rnacentral:lncRNA from 1 species